UGAGCAAUCUGCCCUUCUCAUCGGAAUAAGCGUUGGAAACGACGUCUAAUGCCGAAUACGACCUCCUUUCGCAUGAUCGGAGGUGGAAAGCUCCGGCGGAGAAGGAUGAGCUCGCGGCCUAUCAGCUAGUUGGUGUGGGUAAUGGCCCACAAGGCGACGACGGGUAGCCGGCCUGAGAGGGUGACCGGCCACACGUGGGACUGAGACACGGCCCAGACUCCGUACGGGAGCAG
rnacentral:rRNA from 1 species